rnacentral:rRNA from 1 species
CGCUGGCGGCACGCCUAACACAUGCAAGUCGAACGGAGAUUGAGAGCUGCUCUUAAAUCUUAGUGGCGGACGGGUGAGUAACACGUGAGCAACCUGCCUCUGAGAGAGGGAUAGCUUCUGGAAACGGAUGGUAAUACCUCAUAACAUUACAUGACCGCAUGAUCGUGUAAUCAAAGAUUUAUCACUCAGAGAUGGGCUCGCGUCUGAUUAGCUAGUUGGUGAGGUAACGGCCCACCAAGGCGACGAUCAGUAGCCGGACUGAGAGGUUGAACGGCCACAUUGGGACUGAGACACGGCCCAGACUCCUACGGGAGGCAGCAGUGAGGGAUAUUGCACAAUGGAGGAAACUCUGAUGCAGCGAUGCCGCGUGGAGGAAGAAGGUUUUCGGAUUGUAAACUCCUGUUUCGAGGGACGAUAAUGACGGUACCUCGGGAGGAAGCUCCGGCUAACUACGUGCCAGCAGCGGC